GGGGGGGUUAGGGUUAGGGUUAGGGUUAGGGGUUAGGGUUAGGGUUAGGGGUUAGGGUUAGGAUAGAGGGUUUUAGCCAGAAGUGCCAGGGGGUGCACUUGGAUUUUGGCGAAUACCUUUGUCUGUGGUGGUCACAGAGUCACGAGACCCACAUGCUCCCCCACUAAUUCUAUGAUGGGCUUUCCAACGGUGCCAGCCCCAUGUCUCUACGAGCUAGCGUCAGCGAGCUACAGUGAUAUGGAGGGGGGGUGCAGUUGUAUUUGGCCCAAUAACUUUGUCUGUGGUGGUCGCAGAGUCAUGAGACCCACAUGCUCCCCCACUAAUUCCACGAUGGGCUUUCCAACGGCACCAGCCACGAGUCUCUCUGAGCUUGCGUUAGGGUUAUGGUUAGGGUUAGGGUUAGGGUUAGAGAUAGAGGGUGCAGUUGUAUUUGGCCCAAUAACUUUGUCUGUGGUGGUCGCAGAGUCACGAGACCCACAUGCUCCCCCACUAAUUCUAUGAUGGGCUUUCCAACGGUGCCAGCCCCAUGUCUCUACGAGCUAGCGUCAGCGAGCUACAGUGAUAUGGAGGGGGGGUACAGUUGUAUUUGGCCCAGUAACUUUGUCUGUGGUGGUCGCAGAGUCACGAGACCCACAUGCUCCCCCACUAAUUCCAUGAUGGGCUUUCCAACGGCACCAGCCACGAGUCUCUCUGAGCUUGCGUUGCUGAGAUAUACUCUGUAUGCUCUCUGGGCCUCAUAUAUGGGUGCGGCCUUAGCGAGAAUUCACUCUGGCUGAGGAUGAUAGAGGGUUUUAGCCAGAAGUGCCAGGGGGUGCACUUGGAUUUUGGCGAAUACCUUUGUCUGUGGUGGUCACAGAGUCACGAGACCCACAUGCUCCCCCACUAAUUCUAUGAUGGGCUUUCCAACGGUGCCAGCCCCAUGUCUCUACGAGCUAGCGUCAGCGAGCUACAGUGAUAUGGAGGGGGGGUGCAGUUGUAUUUGGCCCAAUAACUUUGUCUGUGGUGGUCGCAGAGUCAUGAGACCCACAUGCUCCCCCACUAAUUCCACGAUGGGCUUUCCAACGGCACCAGCCACGAGUCUCUCUGAGCUUGCGUUAGGGUUAUGGUUAGGGUUAGGGUUAGGGUUAGAGAUAGAGGGUGCAGUUGUAUUUGGCCCAAUAACUUUGUCUGUGGUGGUCGCAGAGUCACGAGACCCACAUGCUCCCCCACUAAUUCUAUGAUGGGCUUUCCAACGGUGCCAGCCCCAUGUCUCUACGAGCUAGCGUCAGCGAGCUACAGUGAUAUG